rnacentral:rRNA from 1 species
AUUGAACGCUGGCGGCAGGCCUAACACAUGCAAGUCGAACGAGUGGCAGACGGGUUAGUAAUGUCUGGGAAACUGCCUGAUGGAGGGGGAUAACUACUGGAAACGGUAGCUAAUACCGCAUACCAUCAGAUCAGCCCAGGUGGGAUUAGCUAGUUGGUGGGGUAACGGCUCGCCAAGGCGACGAUCCCUAGCUGGUCUGAGAGGAUGACCAGCCACACUGGAACUUAGACACGGUCCAGACUCCUACGAGAGGCAGCAGUGGGGAAUAUUGCACAAUGGGCGAAAGCCUGAUGCAGCCAUGCCGCGUGUAUGAAGAAGGCCUUCGGGUUGUAAAGUACUUUCAGCGGGGAGGCGUUACCCGCAGAAGAAGCACCGGCUAACUCCGUGCCAGCAGCCGCGGUAAUAC